rnacentral:lncRNA from 1 species
CACUUGUUGGAAGUAGCGGGUGUGGUAAAAGCACCAUCAUGUCACUACUAAUGAGAUUUUAUGAUCCCGUGAGAGGUUGGUCAAAAAUUAAUUAUUAAUCAUUACUUUUAGUUGCCGAAUUUGCAGAAGCAUCUAUAACAAAAGAAAGUUUCACAUGUAAAUGUCUAAAAGCUUCAUAAUGUUCAUACUGCAUCAAUCAAAUACAAUAGGUAAAUUACACAAAAAUUGAAAAACUCACUCAGUAUGAAAACCAUCAGGUGAGAUUCUCCUUGACAACCACAACAUCAAAGAUCUUGAUUUGAAGUUUCUUAGGAGAAACAUAGGAGUAGUUUCGCAGGAGCCAUCUCUAUUUGCUGGCAGCAUCAAAGACAACAUUAAGAUGGGAAAUGUUAACGCAAAUGAUCAACAGAUUGAAAGAGCUGCCUUGUUGGCAAAUGCACAUUCUUUCAUAUCCCAGCUACCGGAUCAAUAUCUAACAGAGGUCAGACCAUUAUCACUCAUAUACAUGACCAACUGUUUCAUUAGGCUAAUUCUAUAAAGAAAAAAAAAAAGAUACAUAACUGUCUACAUAGUUUGUGGUAUUCAGUUCCGUAUAUUUCCAAUAGAAUGAAUGAUUAGAUUUUCUCUAGUAAUGGAGUUAUGGGCAGAAUCAAGCUGGAAGGAACAGGAAAGUUGAUAAUAAUACAACAUACCCAGUGUAAUCCCAUAAGUAAUCCCAUAAGUGGGGUCUGUAGAGGAUAGAAUGAACGCGGACCUUACCUCUACCUUUGUGAGAUAGAGAGGCUGUUUUCGAUAGAGCCUCGGCGCAAAAGAAAUUUAGCCAAUGCAAGAAAUUUAGGGGGAAAAAAAAAGAGAUAACAAAAUAAGUGCAGCUACGAAUAUUAAUACACAUUGAAGGAAAAGAAACUAUGUGAUACCUAAAUCAUAUUACUAGAAGUAGUACGACACCCGAUUACCUACUACCCAUAUACCCUAAUUCUGAACCACUAUACCUUCCCAUCUAAAGGUCAUGUACUCAGCAAGCUGAAGUUGUGGCAUGUUUUAUCUAAUCACCUCCGUCAGUUCUUCUUCUGCCUACCUCUACCUCUCCUAACUCCUCCUACAGCCAACCACACACCUCCUCACUGUCAAAAUUAAUAGCAAUAAUAAUUAUACUCACUAUCUAAGAAAGAAGGGUUUUCUGCUUCUCCACCACUGGAAACAAAAAGGAGACCAAAAGGCACAUCACAGGAUUGAGAACAUCUGAGAAAAGAAAAAAGUGUGCACCUAGGAAGUCUCAUGCCUUUACCUGAUCCAAGGCAAAAUGACUUGUCUGGAAAAUCCUUUUCGAAACAUUAAACAUAAGAGAAUGUUAAAGUAGAAGAAUGCAAACACAUUGCUUUCCUCCUCUCACAGUAGAUAUACUAUUCAAGUGAACCAAUAUAAUUCCAUGAACACCAAUUUCAGCUUGCAGCCUGUAGUAUAAUCAUUUCCUCAAGAAAGCAUUUGUUAAGAUCACCUGAAAGUCUGUUGCUUAUUCAGUUUGGCACAGAAGGACAAUGAAAGAAGGCAAACAAGAACAGCAGGCUACUACAUCCGGUACAAAAAGUACUAAGUGACAUAAGAUAUGACAAUUUGAUAACAAAUGAGGGCAACUCAUGUAAGAAAGCCCCUAAAAUAGUAAAUUGAAAACUAAGAGCAGAAUACAAUUAAUAAUAAAAAACUAAUUGCUGCUAUAGGAAAUCAAGAGCCAAAUACCCUAAAUUGAGGAUUCUAAAUUCUUCCGUCUCUAAUAGCUAAAAUACUUUACUGCUCCUCUGUCAUCUCCAAGCAUAUGAUAAGUCGAAAGGAAAGUAGUUGUAGCAUGAUCAAAGUACAUCUGAAACUAUGCCUUGAUUCUUGUAUAGCAAAGCUUCCAUGAAAAAAUUGAAGCAUGUUGAGUUAGUUUUCUUGUUAAAAUGUCCUACUCUAGGUAGGGCAAAGGGGUCUCCAACUAUCAGGUGGACAAAAACAGAGAAUUGCAAUAGCAAGAGCAAUUUUAAAAAAUCCUCCUAUUCUUUUGCUUGAUGAGGCCACCAGUGCACUUGACACAGAGUCAGAGAAACAAGUUCAAGAAGCACUGGAGACAGCAGCACAAGGCAGAACAGUCAUCUUAAUUGCACACAGAAUGUCAACUAUUGUAAAUGCAGACAUGAUAGCUAUUGUUGAGGAUGGGAAAAUUGUGGAAACAGGAACACAUAAUAACCUCUUAGAUACAAGUAUAUUCUACAACAGGCUAUUUAGCAUGCAGAGCAUCACGCAAGAUUGUCAAACUAGGUCAGAUUAAACUCAAUACCAUAUUCAUCAUUACAAUCAGACUGGUUAAUUGAUAAUGAAAUGCAUUUAAUUGAUAGGUUGGAGGCUACAAAUAGAAAAGUUCUUUCCAUACAAGAGGAUUCAUCUCAGGACCAUACGCAACCUGAUGAGCCCAAUGAAAGCAAAAGAGAGCUUAAGGAACUUCCUGAGAAGGAGCAGAUCCGAAGAAAAGAGAGACACAUAUUUUUCAGAAUCUGGUUU